CUGGUCUACAGACAAUAGGCCAUCAAGGGCAUUCAGUGAUGCGGGUGUUCCCCUCAGCAGAGCAUCUAUGGUUGCCUCAGUGAAGAAGAUCUCUUCAGGGAUCUCCUGGGGAAUAAGAGGUCAUGAUCUCAGGGAUUGUGAGAUUGAGCCCUGCUACAUGCUCUAUGCUCAGCAGAAAUCUGCUUGGAUACUCUCUCC
rnacentral:lncRNA from 1 species